rnacentral:lncRNA from 1 species
AUCUGGAAGAACCAAAUGCAGUUCUUAACUGGGUAGAAUUCAGGCUCUUCAAUUCUUGAUUCCAUCCAUUAUGUGCUCACUGUAAGAAGUGGUACCUCCUUGGGAUACUGAAUCAGAAAGAUAUUAGAGAAACGGCUAUUCAUGGUGUAGGGAUCUUUGGACUUGAAGGAACGUCAGUUGUGACUGAUGACAUCCUGGACCCGUGUUGGGAAAACUGAACUGGAUGAUCUCAAAGGCCUUUUCCCUUCAAAUAUUCUCUGACUGUGAC